AAUCACUACAUUAGAUCAUAGUAUGAUGAACCAUUUAUGCCGAGAUACACGCGGAGCAACACAUAGAUGAAAGUCAAAUCUAACAAUAUAGGAAUGAUCAGAUCUCCACCCAAAGCAGGAUUUGGUACAUUUGGUCCCGAAGGAAAUCCCAGAUUAACCAGUGUGGUGUGGUAGAUAGUUGUUUACAUGAACUGACAGAAGUAUACCAAGUAACAAAGUUAGUUAUUUACAGCCAAAGUUCAAUGCCUCCAAACCAAAGCUUAACUCCUAACAGGAAAUGUCUCCAAAUAUUGUGGCCAAACCUUAACUCCUAACAGGAAAUGUCUCCAAAUAUUGUGGCCAAACCUUGGAACCUAAAAAAAUGGAGAGAAAAACGAAAUCAGGAAAUGCAACAGACAGGAAGUCACAUAGGAUAAAACUAUCUCAUUGCACCUGACAUAUACAGUACUGCUAAGAAAUUUCAUUAUCAGUUAUUUUGUAGAUUUUUUAAUAGAAUUAGCUCACUGAUGAGAGCCAACUGAAACUUUGCUGAAAUACAAUUUGAUGUGAUAAACUUUUUUACAAUAGUUAAAGUCGAAUGUGCAUAUAUACUUAAGCAUGUACUGUGUCAAAUAUAUAUCUUCAGAACCGGAGAAUCAGCAUGCAUGUCAUCUGCUAUUUUUCUAAUAAAAAUGUUUCCGUACCAUCCAUCGUCUCAACCUUCUGAAUCCAACUAAUCCAAGCUCGCCAUCGCCAUCAAUGGCACAUCCAGCUCAUGAAAGGAUAAAUAGCAAUAAAACAUUUAUGCACCACUCGUGUGUGUGUGUGUACAUAACAAUGGAAUAGAAAACAAUGAAAAUGUCUCAUUCAUCUGCUUCCUACUGAACCAAAGUGUGCUCCUCCGAGAAACAAUCACCAAAAUAACAUUUAAAAUUAGUAAAGGAUAAUGCUACAAUUUUCAGAUUGUCGGCAGAGAGGUUAGAGCUAUCAUCGUGACAAUGUAUUGCCAGAUAAAUCAACUACUUAAGUGUAAUUAUAUAACUUCUAUUUCAUUACCCCAAAAAAAUAGUAUAGCAAAAAGGCAUGGAUUCAAAAACUUCUCCAAAAUCAUCUACUGGAAAAAUAAAUCAGAAAGACAAUGUCUGUCAUAUAUACACACAGGGGGGUCUAGAAGAAGAAAAAUCGGAUCAUCUGUAGGUGAUAUACCUUUGCAGAAGGACAACCUUAGAGGUACACUAAGUAGACUUCAAAGUGUGUAAACUGAUCUAAUAGGUGAAAGUUUAAUUCAACAAAUAUGGCAAUCACUAACUGCCCUAUAGUCAAGAGAUUGUAUCACUAAGCUGCCCCUUCUAAGCAAUAAUGGUAGCAGUUGCUUGCAGGGUGAGAAAGGUUAACUUUCCGAUAAGCAGACAUUCUUGAUUAUGAUCAAAACAAUAGCCUUGUUAUAUUACCUGGCGAUAUUGGGUGACUGAAACUUAAAGUCCACUAAGAAGUAAACAUCACAGGUUGCAGAACAGGACCAGGCUUGAAUUUCCAAACGUUUAUCAAAUGAUCUAAAAGUCCACUUUGAGACGCUAUCGUCUGCAGCAGAGCAGUAUAGUCAGAAGCAAAAAAACGCAACUAAGCAAUCAUGAAGGGAAAAAGACCAGAGUACUCCAGAGAACUGCCAAUAUUACUAAUUAAUACUGAAGCUAAAGAAGCACCCUCUAGAUUGACUAUAGUCAGAUUAACAAAGUUGAUAAGUAGACUUUCAUCGACUAACAAUAUACAGUAUUUAUUAGAACAAAGAUAAAGAAGUUACCACGCUUGUUAUAGAAGGAUAGAAGUUCUCACAUUACUUGAAAACAAAGAGGCAGAUCUACACUGCUUAUUAUGGUGGUGCAGAAGUGCCAGUUAAUCAGAUAAAAAAAUAUGUAUCAGAACUGUUAUAGCUUUAUAAGACGAAAUUGGAUGACACUUCCUUCAGUAUUUACUGUGCCAAAAUAUUUACUCUGACCUCGAAUGGCACUCACGAAGAAAUCUUGAACUAUGAAACCAUGUGAGCAUGGUCUAUGUUACCGUAAAGGACAAAGAAUAAAAAAUAUACAAAAAGGAAAUGACAUUUGUACAGUAAGGAAAACUAACCAUGAAUAGAUGAACCUUAAGGCACACAAUGGGAAUAAGACAGGAGUUUGUUCAGUAGAUUUACCAUUGGGCAAAAAUGUUAUUAGUAGGCUUAAGACACACGCAUGAGGCAUAACAGAUAAUGAAUGCCAGAACAUGGCAUCAUAAAAAAUGCACAGAAUAGGCCGAGCCCUGACUCAGGUAACAAAGAACAUGGGAUAUAUUAUUCUCCCUCUUUAUGCCAGAUUGUUAGUCCAGCAUCCAGUAUUGCUGCUAGCUUUGGAAAAGUGAACUCAAGAAAACUUUCUGAGUACAAAGCAGAAGAUCUUGCAGCAGCUCCAGUCAACUCUUUCACGUACAAUACUGGGUAGGUACUUUCUCCAGACAUUCGAACUACCAUGCGCCACUAUGAAGUACUCUCUAGUGUGCAUAUAUUUCUUCUCAAGAUAGCCUACUUUGUGGCUAAUUUAUCAGGCCAAAAUAGUGUAGACUGGCCCUAUAUCGGCAAGGUGAUGAUGAUAGCAGUUGUGGUUGCAGACACACAUGAAAGAUAUGUCUUUUUCAAAAUGACAGAACCGAAUUUAGAUGUGCAUGAGAUCAGGCAUACCUCACAUGGAGCAUGGGUGGUCCAUUGAUGUUGGUAGAACGGCGAGAUUGUACGACAGCUUAUGGAAUACGGGCAGCCUGCGGAGUUGGUAGAACGGUGAGACUGUAUAGAGCUAUGUUCGAAACUUGCGGCAUGACGAUGAGCCAAAUAGCUGCAGAUUAUCCCAGAGAGUUAGAAC
rnacentral:lncRNA from 1 species